UUGUCUCUGUCCCGACCAAGACUUCUCUAACUCUAGAAUCUCACAAAUAGCAACUUCCCCUCCUGAUACAGAUCCUCAUGGAAGUCAUAUUGAAGCAUACGGAAGACAGAGAGACUCCAGUGAAGAUUACUAGCUGAUAGUGAUGCCCUGGCUACAGAGCAACCUACUGUCUGUUGCCUGCUGGUGAAGAGACUAUGUUACAGCAGAGAUUGAAGAGUCUUCACUGUAAGGAGAAGAAAUUACUUUGAAGGGGAAGCAACUCAUCCUUACUGUUUUUGUGACUGCAGAAGAAGCAAUCAGAUGAGCCAUGUGGUCAGCUUUAAAGCCUCUGGGAGAUGAAAAUCCCACAUCUGGAGAUCAACGACUUCAGUUGAACAAUUUUGAAUCCAGGAGGAAAAAAAAAGGCCCAGAACUAAAACCAAUCAAAAAAACUCCCACUCCAAAACCAACCAACCAACCAGCCAGAAGAAACAAGAGCAGUCUGCUGUUUAGUAUUGGCAUACAAUGCAGUAUGCCACGAAGACAGUUAUUUAAUAAGAAUUGCAACACACACAUCAUUUGAGGAUUGCUGCAAGUCACCGGGACAGAAGCGGAAGAGGACAUCAGCUUUAUAUUAGUUUAUAAUUCCCUAAUUAGGUGAAACUGAAACAAGUUUCUGUGCCAUUUCAUUCACAUCCCCAAGGAAAUAAUGAACUGUAUCAUGGGUUAGCAAGCACAGUCCCAGAAGGGAUGUCCUUGCUAA